AUUGAACGCUGGCGGCAGGCCUAACACAUGCAAGUCGAGCGGAUGAUGGGAGCUUGCUCCUUGAUUCAGCGGCGGACGGGUGAGUAAUGCCUAGGAAUCUGCCUGGUAGUGGGGGACAACGUUUCGAAAGGAACGCUAAUACCGCAUACGUCCUACGGGAGAAAGCAGGGGACCUUCGGGCCUUGCGCUAUCAGAUGAGCCUAGGUCGGAUUAGCUAGUUGGUGAGGUAAUGGCUCACCAAGGCGACGAUCCGUAACUGGUCUGAGAGGAUGAUCAGUCACACUGGAACUGAGACACGGUCCAGACUCCUACGGGAGGCAGCAGGGGGGAAUAUUGGACAAUGGGCGAAAGCCUGAUCCAGCCAUGCCGCGUGUGUGAAGAAGGUCUUCGGAUUGUAAAGCACUUUAAGUUGGGAGGAAGGGCAGUAAGUUAAUACCUUGCUGUUUUGACGUUACCGACAGAAUAAGCACCGGCUAACUUCGUGCCAGCAGCCGCCGUAAAAC
rnacentral:rRNA from 1 species